UGGGGAAUUUUGCACAAUGGGGGAAACCCUGAUGCAGCGACGCCGCGUGAUUUAGAAGGCCUUCGGGUUGUAAAAAUCUUUUCUAUGGGAAGAAAAUGACAGUACCAUAGGAAUAAGGACCGGCUAAUUACGUGCCAGCAGCCGCGGUAAUACGUAAGGUCCGAGCGUUGUCCGGAAUCAUUGGGCGUAAAGGGUACGUAGGCGGGUAAGCAAGUUAGAAGUGAAAUCCUAUAGCUCAACUAUAGUAAGCUUUUAAAACUGCUCAGCUUGAGGUAUGGAAGGGAAAGUGGAAUUCCUAGUGUAGCGGUGAAAUGCGCAGAUAUUAGGAGGAAUACCGGUGGCGAAGGCGACUUUCUGGCCAUAACCUGACGCUGAGGUACGAAAGCGUGGGUAGCAAACAGG
rnacentral:rRNA from 1 species